rnacentral:rRNA from 1 species
UCUUAGUGGCGGACGGGUGAGUAACGCGUGGGUAACCUGCCUUAUACAGGGGGAUAACACUUAGAAAUAGGUGCUAAUACCGCAUAAGCGCACGGGGCUGCAUGGCCCAGUGUGAAAAACUCCGGUGGUAUAAGAUGGACCCGCGUCUGAUUAGCUUGUUGGCGGGGUAACGGCCCACCAAGGCGACGAUCAGUAGCCGGCCUGAGAGGGUGGACGGCCACAUUGGGACUGAGACACGGACCAGACUCCUACGGAAGGCAGCAG